UGUAGAAGUUGUUCUUGUUCUUGGCCGAGACAUAUUUCUUUGUGGCUACAUCUUGUAGUCUUUUGUUUGUUUAGAUUGUUUCUAGUGUUGGUUUCUUUCUCACCAACACUAAAGUGUCUAGAUCUAAAGGUUUGAGCUUAUGUUGUUGACCUUGUUGAUGUAAAUUAAAAGUUGGUUGUGUGUUGAUAUUGUUGAUCUUGGCCGUGUGUUGCAAUUGUUGU
rnacentral:lncRNA from 1 species